rnacentral:rRNA from 1 species
UACAGAGGUCUCAGGCGUUGUUCGGAUUCAUUGGGCGUAAAGGGUGUGUAGGUGGCGCCGUAAGUCGGGUGUGAAAUUUCGGAGCUUAACUCCGAAACUGCAUUCGAUACUGCGGUGCUUGAGGACUGGAGAGGAGACUGGAAUUCAUGGUGUAGCAGUGAAAUGCGUAGAGAUCAUGAGGAAGACCAGUGGCGAAGGCGGGUCUCUGGACAGUACCUGACACUGAGACACGAAGGCCAGGGGAGCAAACGGG